UUCAGCAUGAGGACAGUUCAUGUACCACGCAGCAACACAAACGUACCCCAUAAUGGAGGGAGGAGAGAGAUGCGCGUUUUCUAGCUGGAAGUACAGUCAUUAUUUUGAGUUUGUGUCAGCUAAGGAUGACAAUAUUAAGGUUCGUUGUGCGCUCUGUGCUGGUUGCAACAAAGUGCUAUCUAGCUACAAAAACACAACGUCAAAUUUGAAGAAACAUUUGGAGUCGCAGCAUGGCACAGUCAAACUUACUGAACAAGUCCCACCAGGUGGUGCGAAACAGAUAGAUGGAGGUCCCCCACCACUCAAACAACAAAAGCUGGACUUCGGUGCAAAACCAGAGUAUGCAGUGAUGGAGAGAAAUCUGAAGGCCACGCUGAAUGAGGUCGACUUUGUGUGAAGUACCGCGUAUAUUUGGAUUGCUAACAACAGAAGUGCAGACUCGUUUUGCCAGUGUGCUGGACGACAACAAUGCCCUUCUCGCAGCUGUCAGUGGUCCAAAAUUCAAACUCCAAUGGCUGAGAUGCAGGUAGGAGGGAGCGAGUAAAAGAGCUUCUGACAACAGAGUGCUGCCUCACAACUGCUCCUGCAGCACAAAGCCCUGCCAGUGUGCCCACCACAUCUGACAGCCAAGGUGAGAUGGACUUUUUCACUUUUGAGGCUGAGGCAGAGCCAGAGGAGACCUACUCUGCAGAAAAUGAAGUCAUGGACUACUUGAGGUCAGCUAAUGAUGACCUUCAGAUUCUGCAUACGUUUUCAAACAUAAAGAACAUUUUCUUGAAGUAUAACACUCCAACCCCAUCAAGUGCUCCUGUGGAGCGGCUUUUCAGUCUGGGAGAUUUGGUGCUCACGCCUCGAAGAAAUAGACUUUCUGACAAGAGGUUUGAGAAGCUUCUGUUAAUGAGGUACAACCACUGGUUUACUCGCCCCACUCCACUGUUUCAUUCAUAAUAUGUGAUUACAACAUAAGAUUAGGCCAAAAUAACAAAAGUAGACAUGAUAUCAGCCUACAUGUGGUGUUAUACACAUGUUUUGUUUUGUAAAACCACUCUUUGCUGCUCUAAUGCUGUGAACAACAGGUUUAAUGUUCAUAAAACAUGUAAUAGUUACAUUUAUAAAGAAUUUUGAUUACAAUAUUAACAGUUAAAUAUGUCAGGUCAAGAAAGACUGUCUUUAUUUUAUAUUUUAGAAAAACAAGUAUUUAUGCUAAG